rnacentral:rRNA from 1 species
UACGUAGGGUGCGAGCGUUGUCCGGAAUUAUUGGGCGUAAAGAGCUCGUAGGCGGCUUGUCGCGUCGACUGUGAAAACCUACAGCUUAACUGUGGGCUUGCAGUCGAUACGGGCAGACUUGAGUUCGGUAGGGGAGACUGGAAUUCCUGGUGUAGCGGUGAAAUGCGCAGAUAUCAGGAGGAACACCGGUGGCGAAGGCGGGUCUCUGGGCAGUAACUGACGCUGAGGAGCGAAAGCGUGGGGAGCGAACAGG